AAAGAUUAUGUAUUAAGAAGAGUCCUAAAGCGGUAGAUUGUAGAGUUGAAGGUGAUUUAGUGACAAAUCUAUCGUGAUUACGGAUGUGGCAGCACGCAAUAUCCCACGCACGAUUCGAAGAUCUAAAUAAGCUUCAUUUCUCAUUAGUGAUUCUCUAAUUCGCCAUUGUCAUUUUCCACCUUAACGUGCUCACACAGGACACGCAGUUCAGCUCCCGCCACCACCACACGAAUUCUGAACUCCGCCUAGCUUAAUCAGUCGUAAUUCACAUACGCCAACGCUUAACACAAUCUGGUUUUUGCCAACUAAUUUCGUUUCUGUUAGUAGAGAUGAACGCUGUACAAGCACUGUGUUCACUGUAUGGUAAUGGAGUGUUCCAGAACAUCGAAUACAGACCUUCGGCGACGCAUGAGUUAGGGUUCUCCAAGUUCUGCGAAAUCAACGUCGCUGGAUUAAGCCGUAGUCGUAAAAACUUGUUGAAGCCGAUUAUGGCCAAGGAAGAUCUUGGCGCGUCGCUGAUCGAUGAAGGAAGUCCUGAAUGCCAGGGACAUCAAGUGAAGAAGCUGAAUGGAUUCACGCCUUUGACUAAUCACUCUACUGCAUUAUCCGGUAAAAAUCUCAGCGACGUGUCAAAUACUGGGAAUUCAGUGAACAUUUUUUGGCACGAAUGUUCAGUCCAGAAACUUAAUAGACAACAACUACUUCAACAAAAAGGCUGCGUCAUUUGGUUAACGGGUCUCAGUGGUUCAGGAAAAAGCACUCUGGCGUGUGCUUUGAGUAGAAGUCUGCACUCCAAAGGAAAGUUGACUUACAUCCUUGAUGGUGACAAUAUUCGACACGGUCUAAACCGUGAUCUUAGUUUUAGAGCAGAAGAUCGUUCAGAGAACAUACGAAGGAUUGGUGAGGUAGCAAAACUCUUGGCAGAUGCAGGUGUUAUUUGCAUCACUAGUUUAAUAUCACCGUACAGAAAGGAUAGGGAUGCUUGCCGAGCUCUAUUGCCAAAGGGAGAUUUUAUUGAGGUUUUCAUAGAUGUGCCACUAGAUGUGUGUGAAGCAAGGGACCCAAAGGGACUCUACAAGCUUGCUCGGGCUGGAAAGAUCAAAGGUUUCACAGGAAUAGAUGAUCCAUAUGAACCACCGUAUAAUUGUGAGAUAGUAUUAAAACAAAAAGGAAGUGAGUGUAUGUCUCCGAGUGAUACAGCAGAAAUAGUAACAUCGUAUUUAGAGAAAAAUGGUUAUCUCCGGGUCUGAGAUUUUCUGGAUGGGGUUUGUCUUUCUUGGUUGUUAUGGCUAUAAUGUGUGAUGUUUAUAACCCAUGCGGGUUGUGAAGUUUAGGAGAAAGCUAGGAAAGAAGGAAGGAAGUUAAGCACAAAGUGGUGAAUUCGAAGUUGAAAAUUUUUUUGGUUAAGUCCCUAGGCUAAGCCUCAGAUCCAAGCUUAGCCUCAGCUCGGCAAAAAAUCCCUGGAACAUAAUUUUAUUCCCCACGCUGAGCGUGAAAUUGGGGCUGAGCAUGAGAGUCCCAUAACCUCAUUUCACUCCAGACCUUCCCUCAAGCUUAGCGUGGCAUCUCACGCUUAGCGUGGAUUAUGCUGACAUGUCAUUAUUCACACAAGACAAAAGUUUUUAUGACCUAAAAGUGGGAUUUUCAAGGAGGGAAGCAAGGAGGAUCAUUCUUGGAGUUUGUGUGGCAGCUGGAGAGCUCUGGAACCUUCAAGAUCAAGCUUCUUCCUUUCUUCAUCAUUUGUAGAGUUCUACAUGUCUAUGUGUAGCUAAACUCACCCUUGUUGGGGUUUGAUGUAACUAAACUCAUUC